GGGUGAGUAACACGUAUGCAAUCCACCUGUAACAGGGGGAUAACCCGGAGAAAUCCGGACUAAUACCCCAUAAUAUGGGCGCUCCGCAUGGAGGGCUCAUUAAAGAAAGCAAUUUUGGUUACAGACGAGCAUGCGCUCCAUUAGCCAGUUGGCGGGGUAACGGCCCACCAAAGCGACGAUGGAUAGGGGUUCUGAGAGGAAGGUCCCCCACAUUGGAACUGAGACACGGUCCAAACUCCUACGGGAGGCAGCAGUGAGGAAUAUUGGUCAAUGGUCGGCAGACUGAACCAGCCAAGUCGCGUGAGGGAAGACGGCCCUACGGGUUGUAAACCUCUUUUGUCGGAGAGUAAAGUGCGCUACGCGUAGCGUAUUGCAAGUAUCCGAAGAAAAAGCAUCGGCUAACUCCGUGCCAGCAGCCGCGGUAAUACGGAGGAUGCAAGCGUUAUCCGGAUUUAUUGGGUUUAAAGGGUGCGUAGGCGGCACGCCAAGUCAGCGGUGAAAUUUCCGGGCUCAACCCGGAAUGUGCCGUUGAAACUGGCGAGCUAGAGUACACAAGAGGCAGGCGGAAUGCGUGGUGUAGCGGUGAAAUGCAUAGAUAUCACGCAGAACCCCGAUUGCGAAGGCAGCCUGCUAGGGUGAAACAGACGCUGAGGCACGAAAGCGUGGGUAUCGAACAGGAUUAGAUACCCUGGUAGUCCACGCAGUAAACGAUGAAUACUAACUGUUUGCGAUAC
rnacentral:rRNA from 1 species